GCUAGUGAUCAUCACUGACCAGGUCAAGAUGUUUCAGUUGACUUCCGUAUCAUUACAGCUUUGACUUUCUUCUUUUGACCCAGGGUAAGAUAGAAACUUGGGUCAUGGCUGUAUAUAGAGCAGUCGUUAGAGGAACUGCACCCCUCUCCACAGUGGACUUCCUUCUAUCUUCUUCUUUCCUUCCCUGCUCCAAUUUUUCUGUUUUUCUAUUUUUUUUUUCUUAUGCCAGUAACAGGGUCCAUGUGAUUGCAAGUUAACCCUUUCAGUGAUUCUUGAGUCAAAAGCAGGCUAGGGGUCCAAUUGGAGCUGUAGCCACCAGCCUACGCCAGAGCCACAGCAACGCGGGAUCCGAGCCGCGUCUGCAACCUACACCACAGCUCACGGCAACGCCGGAUCCUUAACCCACUGAGCAAGGGCAGGGACCGAACCCGCAACCUCAUGGUUCCUAGUCGGAUUCGUUAACCACUGCGCCACGACGGGAACUCCCAUUUCAUUUUUUGAUAAGGGCAGUAGUUUUGAACUUUGAAAUGCUGGGUUUGUCCUUUCUUUUCUCUUGCAACUGAAAUAGAUACUGGACUAUUGCCUUUGGAAUGGGUAGGCAGUGAGAUCCUUCUGUAUAACACUGGGAACUAUGUCUAGUCAUUUAUGAUGGAGCAUGAUAAUGUGAGAAAAAAGAAUGUAUACUUGUAUGUGGAACUGAAUCACCAUGCUGUAGACAAUUGAGAGAACACGAAACCAGCUAUAAUGGAAAAACAAAACAAACAAACAAAACAAAGAAAUAGAUACUGGAGUUUUUGAUGUCCUCAAGUAGUUUUCAGUAUUUGUGGGAGAAAAUUAUUUGGUGAUUAUUAUUAUUAAACUCAAUGAGCAUUCUUUUUUUUUUUUUUUUGGUCUUUUUGCCAUUUCUUGGGCCGCUCCCAUGGCAUAUAGAGGUUCCCAGGCUAGGGGACUAAUCGGAGCUGUAGCCACCAGCCUACACCAGAGCUACAGCAACGCGGCAUCUGAGCCUCAUCUGUGACCUACACCACAGCUCACGGCAGCGUAGGAUCCUCAACCCACUGAGCAAGGCCAGGGAUCGAACCUGGUAACCUCAUGGUUCCUUGUCAAAUUCAUUAACCACUGAGCCACGACGGGAACUCUAUCAAUGAGCAUUCUUUCAAGUCAAACUACUACAUUGUAAAUAGGUAAGGAAGGGUUUGAUACCUGGCAAGAAGACAAGAGUGUGAUGCCACAAAGUUCUAGAAUAUUGCUCCUUAGUGAAAGAAUAUUGAAGUAUUUUACUUAAUUGAGCUCUACGAAUUCAAAAUUUGUAAAUAUUUUGAAAGCUAAUCUUUUUUUUCAUUUUUAUUGAGAUAUGACAUAUAUUAACAUGUGCGAAUCCUUAUAUACAUAUUUACAUAUAUCCAUAUAUUUGUAUGAAUUUUUACAUAUAUACUCAAUUGUAACCACAAGCUAGGUCAAGAUAUGAAAUAUUGAUAAUAGAUCAUUCUCAGUGCUUCAGAAGAAUUCCUUCUUUUGACAGUCGAUAUCCAUCCCUAAGAGGUAGUCAUUAUUCUAAUUUCUGUGGUUGUAGAUAGAUAGGUUUUGCCUGUGCUUGAAUUUCCUCUAAAUGAAGUGCUAUGUAGAGUAAGUCCUGUUUGGUGUUUGGUGUUUGGUGUCUGGUGUCUUUGGUGCAACAUCGUGUCUGUGUCACUUACCAGGUAAUUGGGAGUAACAGCAGAAGUUGGUUCCUUUGUGUCAGUCACUGUAUCAGUUUACCACUGAAAUUAGCAAUUGUAAAAACACAAUAUUUAAUUCCUGUUUUGGGAUAAAUGAGAACUGUUUAGGAUUUGAUGGUCCUAAGAGCCGCUUACAAUGAACACUUCUUCAAAACACCUUUCUGAAAUUCCCACCUUGGCCUAGUGGGUUAAGGAUGCCACUGAAGCCGCUCAGGGUGCUGGGGAGCACAGGUCCCAUCCCCAGCUCAGUGGGUUCACAGCUGUGGCUCAGAUUCAACCCCUGGCCCAGGAACUUCCGUAUGCCAGGGGUGUGGCCAUAAAAAAUAAAUUGAAUAAAUUAAUUCAAGAAAUCUUUUGAUUUCCUAUCUUGUGCAGACAAGGAGCCACCUGAGUAAGUAAGAGAGGCUCUGUGGGGUCAGGUAGGGCCAGCUAGGCAGCUAGCCAGGAUGCCCAGAAGCCAGAUCGCCUAGAUAAUGAAUGUAUACUGUGUCCUACAGCCUUGAAAGUAAAAGCCUGGGAUGUUAAAAUUUAUCGACUCUGUAUUUCCCAGACUUGGGCUUUAUGAAUCAAUCAAUGAAAAAAAAAA
ensembl:lncRNA